CACACACACAGACAUACUGGCAUACACACAGACAUACUGACACACACACAUACACAGACAUACACAGACAUACACACACAGACAUACUGACACACACACACACUGACAUACACACACAGACAUACUGGCAUACACACAGACAUACUGACACACACACAGACAUACUGGCAUACACACAGACAUACUGACACACACACACACUGACAUACACACACAGACAUACUGGCAUACACACAGACAUACUGACACACACACAGACAUACUGGCAUACACACAGACAUACUGACACACACACACACAGACAUACUGGCAUACACACAGACAUACACACACACACACACACACACACACACACACACACACACACACACACACACACACACACACACACACACACAC